rnacentral:lncRNA from 1 species
AGCGCAUUUCCAUUAUAUAUUAAAUAACGAUUGUGUAUGCAAAUGUCAAUGGUUGGUAACGCCCAUAAUAUGAAUAUUCAUGAGCUUGACUGAUAUUAUUAUCCUCUAUUCCAGGCACCUUUCCAUUUUGUGUUCUUUGUGCAUUCUUAUCAGAAAUCCUACGUGCGGUAAAUAAGUCUCUGUAUCACCAUUCUCCUUCUUAUUUGUAUGCAGAUUUGGUUAUAAUGAUUGAUAACUGUAAUCAUCCUCAUUAUUUUAAUAAGAAAUUUUUCUAUCUGUGAUGGAAGUUUUUAUGUACGAUUGCCUGAUCUGAAGACGAGACUUUCGCUGCAUGCAUAUUUAAUGUAUGACGUCACCCACACAGAGUGAGAGCUCGAGGUUUUCUUUGAAAGUUUGAUGGAAAAUGUACAGAGACUUGUCGCAGUUAAUGCAGUACCAAAUGCUUGCUUUCUUGGAGUAUGUGCUUGAAACAAUGUCCUGGAGAAAAUAGACCACCACAAGAGAAGGGAUUGAGAAGGAGGGCUUCCUGUUGACAGAUCAGGGGGUGCCUUGAGGUUCCACUCUUGAUGUUCUGCCCCUUACCUGAAAGCGAUGGCCUCUUGUGCCUGACAUAUUAGGAGCAAAGCA